UACGAAGGGGGCUAGCGUUGCUCGGAAUCACUGGGCGUAAAGCGCACGUAGGUGGAUUGUUAAGUCAGGGGUGAAAUCCUGGAGCUCAACUCCAGAACUGCCUUUGAUACUGAAGAUCUUGAGUUCGGGAGAGGUGAGUGGAACUGCGAGUGUAGAGGUGAAAUUCGUAGAUAUUCGCAAGAACACCAGUGGCGAAGGCGGCUCACUGGCCCGAUACUGACGCUGAGGCACGAAAGCGUGGGGAGCAAACAGG
rnacentral:rRNA from 1 species